ACACUUCAUCCCCACUACUAGAGCAACCACUAAUUAUAGCUACACCCUUUCUGAAGCUUUUGCGUCCUUGAGAGGGAGAUUUCAGAGGCGAGUAAGACUGACGCGACCGGGCCUGCUUUUCAUCCUUCAGUUGGUCGUUCGUCACAUGAUUUGAUCUAAUUGCAGUCGAUAGCUUUACGCAGAUCUGAAGCUUUCACGGCUCAGGAAAAUAUGCCUCCUCGCCCGUUUGAUUAAGCCCUAAGCAAGCGUUGUUAAAAAGGAGCUACAGUAUGGUGCUGCUUGUGUGGCACAUCUUACAGCUAGCUACAUUAACUUUUCUGAAGAAAAAUGGACACUGAGGAAGGAGAUGGUGCUCUGUUCGGCUCAGAUUCAAGCAGAAGCUGCUGCUGCACAGGAAAAAAGUGAUGUGUCUUGGAAGAUUUUUGUUCUUUCUUUCUUGCAGUUAUACAUGGACGCAACUAUAAAGCCGGUGAAUUUGCAGUUCUCUGUUAGCUACUAUGUAAAUGAAAAAUGGAAUUAAAAUGGGGGUGGUGGUGUAAUGUUUUUGUCUUUUGGUUUGAUCUGACGGCCGAGAUCUGGAAGUGGGAUUUGGAAUGUUCUUAUUUUGGACGGCUUGAGCAAUUGACAGUGAUGAUGAUAAGGCUAAUGUUUUCUCCUAA